rnacentral:rRNA from 1 species
UACGUAGGGGGCAAGCGUUGUCCGGAUUUAUUGGGCGUAAAGAGCUCGUAGGCGGCUCGGUAAGUCGGAUGUGAAACCUCCAGGCUCAACCUGGAGACGCCAUCUGAUACUGCCGUGGCUUGAGUCCGGUAGAGGAGCAGGGAAUUCCUGGUGUAGCGGUGAAAUGCGCAGAUAUCAGGAGGAACACCAGCGGCGAAGGCGCUGCUCUGGGCCGGUACUGACGCUGAGGAGCGAAAGCGUGGGGGAGCGAACAGG